UCAUGAGUGAUACACGAUGUGAGCGCAGUGGAUGACGCAAUGAGAGGUUGGACCAAUCACAUAUAAGCAGCGGUUGGUCUCAGAGCCCCUUCACUGCUCACACGGCGACAGCGUCUCUCCACAAAUCGGCGGUUUGUUUAUCGCUCACCUGCCGCACCACAGCUUCUCUACCUGUUGGAUUGAACAGCCCUCAUCAUGUCUAAAGGUACAGUGGUUCUGGCGUACAGCGGUGGACUGGACACAUCCUGCAUUUUGGUUUGGCUGAAGGAACAGGGCUACGAUGUCAUUGCGUUCUUGGCCAACAUCGGGCAAGAUGAAGAUUUCGAAGCUGCACGGGAAAAGGCAGAGAGCCUUGGUGCAAAGAAGGUUUUCAUUGAAGACCUGCGGUCAGAGUUUGUGGAGGACUUCAUUUGGCCCUCAGUUCAGGCCAAUGCCGUCUAUGAGGACCGAUACUUGCUGGGCACUGCGGUAGCACGGCCCUGCAUCGCCCGGCAGCAGGUUGAGAUUGCACGGAAGGAAGGUGCCAAUUUCGUCUCCCAUGGUGCCACAGGAAAGGGCAAUGACCAGAUACGUUUUGAGCUCACAUGCUACGCCCUCUACCCUGAAGUUAAGAUCAUUGCACCAUGGAGGAUCCCUGAGUUCUACAAUCGCUUCCGGGGGAGAACAGACCUGAUGGAAUAUGCUCAGAAACAUGGCAUCCCUGUGCCUGUCACUCCAAAGGCACCCUGGAGCAUGGAUGCCAACCUCAUGCAUAUAAGCUAUGAGUCUGGCAUCCUGGAGAAUCCUAAGAGCCGCGCUCCGGCUGACCUGUACCUGAUGACCAAGAACCCAGAAGAUUCCCCCAACACCCCCGAUGUCCUGGAGAUAGAGUUCAAAAACGGAGUGCCUGUCAAGGUGACCAAUGAGCAAGAAGGCACGUCUAAGGACUCACCACUAGAUAUCUUCUCCUACCUCAAUGACAUUGGUGGAAAGCAUGGCGUUGGUCGGAUUGACAUUGUAGAGAACCGUUUCAUUGGCAUGAAGUCCCGAGGGAUAUAUGAAACCCCAGGAGGCACAAUUCUGUUGAAGGCCCAUUUAGACAUUGAGACCUUUACCAUGGACAAAGAGGUGCGUCGGAUCAAGCAGGGACUGGGUAUCAAGUUUUCUGAACUCAUCUACAAUGGUUUCUGGUACAGUCCAGAAUGUGACUUUGUGCGAAACUGUAUAAACAAAUCCCAGGACAACGUGGAGGGCAAAGUACAGUUAUCUGUCUUCAAGGGUCAGGUCUACAUCCUGGGACGAGAGUCCCCCAAGUCCCUUUACAAUGAGGAGUUGGUCAGCAUGGACGUGCAGGGUGACUACGACCCAUGUGAUGCCUCUGGAUUCAUCAGGAUUAAUGCUGUCAGGUUAAGGGAGCACCAUCGUUUGCAAGGUUUCUCCAGCACCAAGCAGUAACUACUGAAACCAUCCCCUCUCCGAUGUGUCUUAAACAGUAAAUCCACGUAAUGGCUCAAGCACACGAACCUGACCACGACCAGAGCAGCAGAGGUUCGGGAUAACUCGUGUGUCGCUGUGUGUGUUUUAAACAACACAAUACAGUGUACUUCCCCUGAUAAUAGCAAAUGUAAAAUCCAUUCCAAUGCAAUGCAAAUGUGUUGCAAAAUCAAUGUCAACACUGUGAUCACUCAAUUCAGCACUUUGUCACGAUCUAUGUCACAGAAACACCUUUUUUUCCCUUAACUAUACACAUUCAACUGUGACACACACUCCUCAAAGCAACUCUGCACCGCAGUAUACAGUAAAUGGCUGGCUGUAAUCCAGUUCCAUAUGGCAGGCUAAACAGCAGUCUCAGUGUCUGCCGAGAGAUCCUUUGCCAGCUGCUCAGACCUGUUGAGCCUGUUGGUACUGAAGCGCCUGUUCCUUCUUCACACAUACUGACCAACUUGAGAUCAGGAGGCCAUCUGCACAUUUAGAGAGAACGCUGCGACUCCGUUUCGCUGUGAAGCUCAAGAAAUGUUUUGUGGACUACGGAACUUCACCACCACAUUUCCAUCAGCAUGAGGACGGGAAGAUGAGCUAAACUUUCCUCUUUUUUUUAUGGUGAACUUAUCCUUUAAUGUACCACACUGACCGUGCUACUGACUGUUUUUGAUCCUUAGAGUCACAACGUGGCAAUAAAAUAAAGCUCGCCAAGUGUC